CCUACGGGAGGCAGCAGUGGGGAAUAUUGGACAAUGGGCGAAAGCCUGAUCCAGCAAUGCCGCGUGAGUGAUGAAGGCCUUAGGGUUGUAAAGCUCUUUUACCAGGGAUGAUAAUGACAGUACCUGGAGAAUAAGCUCCGGCUAACUCCGUGCCAGCAGCCGCGGUAAUACGGAGGGAGCUAGCGUUGUUCGGAAUUACUGGGCGUAAAGCGUACGUAGGCGGUUAUUCAAGUCAGAGGUGAAAGCCUGGAGCUCAACUCCAGAACUGCCUUUGAAACUAGAUAGCUAGAAUCUUGGAGAGGUGAGUGGAAUUCCGAGUGUAGAGGUGAAAUUCGUAGAUAUUCGGAAGAACACCAGUGGCGAAGGCGACUCACUGGACAAGUAUUGACGCUGAGGUACGAAAGCGUGGGGAGCAAACAGGAUUAGAUACCCUGGUAGUCCACGCCGUAAACGAUGAUAACUAGCUAGUUCGGGUCUCUACGAGCUUGAGUGGCGCAGCUAACGCAUUAAGUUAUCCGCCUGGGAGUACGGUCGCAGAUUAAACUCAAAGGAUUGACGGNUUGAGCGNGCGAGGACGACGACGAGGAGAG
rnacentral:rRNA from 1 species